rnacentral:lncRNA from 1 species
GAGUCUUGCUCUAUCACCCAGGCGGGAGUGCAGUGGCACAAUCUCGGCUCACUGCAACCUCCAUCUCCUGGGUUCAGGCAAUUCUCCUGCCUCAGCCUCCUGGGUACCUGGGAUUACAACUGUGCGCCACCACACCCGGCUAAUUUUUUUGUAUUUUUAGUAGAAACUUUUGUAUUGUUAGUAGAGAUGGGUUUUCACCAUGUUGGCCAGGCUGGUCUUGAACUUCUGACCUCAAGUCAUCUGCCCACCUCCACCUCCCAAAGUGCUGGGAUUAUAGAUAUGAGCCACCACACCUGACCUCAUUUCUUAUAUUCUUUCAUCCAUCCAUUCUCCAACUACCAAUCCACGCAUGCACACAUGCAUGAUUUGCUCCAUCCAUCCACCCACACAUACACACAUCUUUUCAUCCAUCACUCCUCCACUAUCUGUGUAUCUACUCAUCCACCAUCUACUCUUACACUUAUCCAUCCAUGCAUGGAUUCAUCCAUCUGUCCAUGUUACAAACAUUUAUUGAGCAAUACACCAGACAUCAUACUAGGCUCUGGGAGUAGACUGAUGAGCCCUCAGGGUGCUUCCAGUCUACUGGGGAGACAGAAAGGCCAAUAAACAAGUACGGGGUGAUAAGUUCUCUGAUUAGGUAGAGUGAGGGGAGAUGCACGAGGAACAAGCAAAGGCACCUUGCUCAGACCUGGGCACCUAGGAAGGCUUCCCACAAAAGCUGCAUCUGAAGGAUGAAUAUGAGGUGGACAGGCAAAGGAAUGGGGACAGGCAAACAACAUGUGCGGCAAAGAGACCAGCCCAUGCAAAGACACAGAGCUGCAAGAUAAACAGCUCACCUGGAAUGCAGCAUGUGAAGCGAGGAGAGGUAAGGGUGAUGGGCCAGUCACAGAGAGGUGUGUAAGCCCUCCCUUGGUGUCAUCCCUUAGUCCAUGCCUGUACGUUGCUUUCUUGCAGGGCUUGGGACACCUGCUGUCCUGCUGAACCAAUGGCCUCUGGGUGCUGCUGGCUGUGCUCCAGGAGGGCUGGAGAUUCUGUCUUGUGCACGGUUGCCUAUAAAGGGUUAAAGAGUGCCUGGUGCUUCGAAGAUGCUUGUUAUGGGAUGAAUCGUGUACCCCAACAUUCACACUGAAGCUGUACCAUGCAGUACCUUGGAAUGCGACUAUAUUUGGAGAUACAGCCUUUAAAGAGGUAGUUAAGGUAAAAUGAGGUUACGAGGAUGGGCCUGAUUCCAAUCUGACCUCAUAUUCCACAGCACCCACUCGGAACACCACAUCUGUGUCCUGCCAAAUGAUGACUGUGCAAGCCCCUGCCCCCUCUCCUCUCCAACUCGGGUAGCCCCAGGCUUCACCCGUCUUCCAAACAGUCGUUCUCACUUUGCUGCAGCAGUGGCCUCUGGGAAAGGGCCCUUGGGUUUGGGCAGCUCAGCCUGUCAACCCAAG